rnacentral:rRNA from 1 species
GACGUAGGGCGCGAGCGUUGUCCGGAUUUAUUGGGCGUAAAGAGCUCGUAGGCGGCUUGUCGCGUCGUCCGUGAAAACUUGGGGCUCAACCCCAAGCCUGCGGUCGAUACGGGCAGGCUAGAGUUCGGUAGGGGAGACUGGAAUUCCUGGUGUAGCGGUGAAAUGCGCAGAUAUCAGGAGGAACACCGGUGGCGAAGGCGGGUCUCUGGGCCGAUACUGACGCUCAUGCACGAAAGCGUGGGGAGCAAACAGG